ensembl:lncRNA novel transcript
UUUUUUGUGCGAAAAUCCAUCUGCCCUCACUGCAGGUUCAUCAUUACAAAAAUCACUGUUUAGCUCAAACCAAGAGACAGAGAAGUCAUCAUGAUCUCUCCUUUCUGUCUCCUUCCUGUAGCAGCUGUGCUUCCCCUCUCUGGUAUGUACACACGCACACACCUUCUUUAUGCCAGGAGCUUUUCCAGAUCUUCACUACAAAAUGGGAAGUCUGGAGAAGGGAAGCUCAUGCCUAUCAGAUGUUGGGAGAGGAAGCAGAUGAGACUUAUAUUUACUUAUUUAUAUCUAGUACGCACUCCAGUGAUCCACAAAGUCAUCUUUGGGCCUAAAUCCCUUGUUAUUCUACCAAUAGGUUAAGCAGAUUUGGAUAUUCCUAAUUUUGGUUCCAAAUAAACAGGCAGUGUUUACCUAGCUUCAAAGUUUGGAGAAUUUUUCUGUGAACAUUUUGAUAUUUUUCAAAUAUGGGGACAAUUGAAUUGACAAUUGAAGACAUAGGAUAGAAAACCCUUAAAAGUGAUAAAAAUUAAUUUGGUGCUUCUGAAUUGAAAUUCAGAUCUGAAUACUAUUUGUUGUAUUGUUAAAUGUCUAUUACUGGCUAAACUUUUCUAUUUUCCUCUAAUUACAUGAAGGUGCCAACUAAAUUUAAUAUUAGAAACAACUAUGAAUUUUAACUAACUCAUACAUAAGAUUAUAGAAAUGUUGCUUAUCAAACAGUACCAAAGGGCACUUCUGCAUAAACUAGAUAACUGCCAGGGCCUACACCCUUCCCCUUUUCAAUCGGGACUAUCACACUCUCCCCUUUCUCAAUCAAGGGACUGUCAGGGAUCAUCAGAAUAACAGAAAACCUAAAGCUACCAACCUCCAAAACACAGAGUUGACAGCCAGGCACAGUGACUCACGCCUGUAAUCCCAGAACUUUGGGAGGCAGAGGCUAGUGGAUCACUUGAGCCCAGGAGUUUGAGACUAGCUUGGGCAACAUAGUGAGACCCUGUCUCUACCAAAGGAAAAAAAAAAAUAC